AACGAACGCUGGCGGCAGGCUUAACACAUGCAAGUCGAACGCCCCGCAAGGGGAGUGGCAGACGGGUGAGUAACGCGUGGGUAUGUGCCCAGAGGUUCGGAACAACUCCGGGAAACUGGAGCUAAUACCGAAUGUGACCGAGAGGUGAAAGAUUUAUCGCCUUUGGAUCAGCCCGCGUUGGAUUAGCUAGUUGGUGGGGUAAAGGCCUACCAAGGCGACGAUCCAUAGCUGGUCGAGAGGACGACCAGCCACACUGGGACUGAGACACGGCCCAGACUCCUACGGGAGGCAGCAGUGGGGAAUCUUGGACAAUGGGCGAAAGCCUGAUCCAGCCAUGCCGCGUGGAUGAUGAAGGCCUUA
rnacentral:rRNA from 1 species